rnacentral:tRNA from 1 species
AGCUUUAUAUUCAAAAAUGAUAUAAAAUUGCAAAUUUUAAGGUAUAAUUUAAACAAAUUAUUAAGGCUU